UACGGAGGGUGCAAACGUUGCUCGGAAUCAUUGGGCGUAAAGCGCACGUAGGCGGCCUGUUAAGUCGGAUGUGAAAGCCCCGGGCUCAACCCGGGAAGUGCAUACGAAACUGGCGGGCUUGAAUAUGGUAGAGGGUCGCGGAAUUCCCGGUGUAGAGGUGAAAUUCGUAGAUAUCGGGAGGAACACCAGUGGCGAAGGCGGCGACCUGGGCCAAUAUUGACGCUGAGGUGCGAAAGCGUGGGGAGCAAACAGG
rnacentral:rRNA from 1 species